rnacentral:tRNA from 1 species
AUUGUUUUGGUCCAAUGGUAGAACGCUUGUCAUAUCUAUAGGAAAUGUGGGUUCGAAUCCCACGGGCAGUU